UUCGCAAUGCCCGAAAGGGUGACGAAGCGACGCCGCGUGGGUGAGGAAGGCCUUCGGGUUGUAAAGCCCUGUCAGGAGUUAAGAAAUGUAAGUGUGCUAAUAUCGCAUUUACUUGACGAAGGCUCCAAAGGAAGUCACGGCUAACUCUGUGCCAGCAGCCGCGGUAAUACAGAGGUGGCAAGCGUUGUUCGGAAUUAUUGGGCGUAAAGAGCACGUAGGUGGGUUUGUAAGUCAGAUGUGAAAGCCUCCUGUUCAACGGGAGAAUUGCAUCUGAUACUACUGAUCUUGAGUAUAGGAGGGGAGAAUGGAACUUCUGGUGGAGCGGUGAAAUGCGUAGAUAUCAGAAGGAACGCCGGCGGCGAAAGCGAUUCUCUGGCCUAUUACUGACACUCAGUGUGCGAAAGCUAGGGGAGCAAACGGGAUUAGAUACCCCGGUAGUCCUAGCCGUAAACGAUGGGCACUAAGUAGAGGGGUUUU
rnacentral:rRNA from 1 species